rnacentral:rRNA from 1 species
GAUGAACGCUAGCUACAGGCUUAACACAUGCAAGUCGUGGGGCAUCAUGAUGUAGUAAUACAUUGAUGGCGACCGGCGCACGGGUGAGUAACGCGUAUCCAACCUACCCUCCACUCAAGUAUAGGCUUCCGAAAGGGAGAUUAAUCCUUGAUAUCGUCAUUCUCUCUCCUGUUAGAAUGAUAAAAGGACAUCGUUUCGGUAGAGGAUGGGGAUGCGUUCCAUUAGGUAGUGGGUGGUUUAACAGGCCACCUAGCCGAUGAUGGAUAGGGGUUCUGAGAGGAAUAUCCCCCACACUGGUACUGAGAUACGGACCAGACUCCUACGGGAGGCAACAGUGAGGAAUAUUGGUCAAUGGGCGCAAGCCUGAACCAGCCAUGUAGCGUGAAGGAUGACGGUUUUUUUGAUUGUAAACUUCUUUUCUGUGCGAUUAAAGUGUGGCAUUUAUGCCAUAUUGCAGUAUCUCAGG